rnacentral:rRNA from 1 species
AGAGUUUGAUCCUGGCUCAGGAUGAACGCUAGCUACAGGCUUAACACAUGCAAGUCGAGGGGCAGCAUGGUCUUAGCUUGCUAAGGCCGAUGGCGACCGGCGCACGGGUGAGUAACGCGUAUCCAACCUGCCUUACACUCUUGGACAGCCUUCUGAAAGGGAGAUUAAUACAAGAUGUUAUCAUGAGUAAGCAUUUUCGCAUGAUUAAAGGUUUACCGGUGUAAGAUGGGGAUGCGUUCCAUUAGAUAGUAGGCGGGGUAACGGCCCACCUAGUCUUCGAUGGAUAGGGGUUCUGAGAGGAAGGUCCCCCACAUUGGAACUGAGACACGGUCCAAACUCCUACGGGAGGCAGCAGUGAGGAAUAUUGGUCAAUGGACGAGAGUCUGAACCAGCCAAGUAGCGUGAAGGAUGAAGGUUCUAUGGAUUGUAAACUUCUUUUAUACGGGAAUAAACGAAUCCACGUGUGGAUUUUUGCAUGUACCGUAUGAAUAAGGAUCGGCUAACUCCGUGCCAGCAGCCGCGGUAAUACGGAGGAUCCGAGCGUUAUCCGGAUUUAUUGGGUUUAAAGGGAGCGUAGAUGGGUUGUUAAGUCAGUUGUGAAAGUUUGCGGCUCAACCGUAAAAUUGCAAUUGAUACUGGCAGUCUUGAGUACAGUUGAGGUAGGCGGAAUUCGUGGUGUAGCGGUGAAAUGCUUAGAUAUCACGAAGAACUCCGAUUGCGAAGGCAGCUUACUAACCUGUAACUGACAUUGAUGCUCGAAAGUGUGGGUAUCAAACAGGAUUAGAUACCCUGGUAGUCCACACGGUAAACGAUGAAUACUCGCUGUAGGCGAUAUACAGUCUGCGGCCAAGCGAAAGCAUUAAGUAUUCCACCUGGGGAGUACGCCGGCAACGGUGAAACUCAAAGGAAUUGACGGGGGCCCGCACAAGCGGAGGAACAUGUGGUUUAA